rnacentral:rRNA from 1 species
UGGGGAAUCUUGCGCAAUGGCCGAAAGGCUGACGCAGCGACGCCGCGUGGAGGAUGACGCCCUUCGGGGUGUAAACUCCUGUUGCCCGGGACGAAACUCCCCUUUCGAGGGGACUGACGGUACCGGGUGAGGAAGCACCGGCUAACUCUGUGCCAGCAGCCGCGGUAAUACAGAGGGUGCGAGCGUUGUCCGGAAUCACUGGGCGUAAAGGGCGCGUAGGCGGUUUUUCAAGCGUGCGGUGAAAGCUCAGGGCUUAACCCUGAGUCGGCCGUGCGAACUGGAAGACUGGAGCACGGUAGAGGCACAUGGAAUUCCGGGUGUAGCGGUGGAAUGCGUAGAGAUCCGGAAGAACACCGGUGGCGAAGGCGGUGUGCUGGGCCGUUGCUGACGCUGAGGCGCGACAGCGUGGGGAGCAAA